rnacentral:tRNA from 1 species
GCCCACGUGGUGAAAAUAGGUAGACACGCCACCUUGAGGGGGUGGUAUCCGAUUAGGAUGUGCUGGUUCAAAUCCAGUCGUGGGUA